AAUGAACGCUGGCGGCGUGCCUAACACAUGCAAGUCGGAUGUGUCGCAAGGUGCAUGGCAGACGGGUGAGUAACGCGUAGGGAAUCUACCUUUUUGUGGGGAAUAACGCUCCGAAAGGAGUGGUAAUACCGCAUGAGACCGUGGCCUGGGAUGGUUACGGUGAAACCUGGGGACCGCAAGGCCUGGGGCAAAAAGAGGAUCCUGCGUCUGAUUAGCUAGUUGGCGGGUAAUGGCCCACCAAGGCGACGAUCAGUAGCCGGCCUGAGAGGGUGAUCGGCCACACUGGAACUGAGACACGGUCCAGACUCCUACGGGAGGCAGCAGUGGGAAUUUUGCGCAAUGGACGAAAGUCUGACGCAGCAACGCCGCGUGGGUGAUGAAGGUCUUCGGACUGUAAAACCCUGUCGUCAGGGACGAAGGUGGCAGUGUUAAUAGCGCUGUUACUUGACGGUACCUGGAGAGGAAGCCCCGGCUAACUCUGUGCCAGCAGCCGCGGUAA
rnacentral:rRNA from 1 species